rnacentral:rRNA from 1 species
AACGCGAAGAACCUUACCAGGUCUUGACAUCCCGAUGACCGCUUCAGAGAUGGAGCUUCUCUUCGGAGCAUUGGAGACAGGUGGUGCAUGGUUGUCGUCAGCUCGUGUCGUGAGAUGUUGGGUUAAGUCCCGCAACGAGCGCAACCCUUGAUCUUAGUUGCCAGCACUUCGGGUGGGCCCUCUAAGAUGACUGCCGGUGACAAACCGGAGGAAGGUGGGGAUGACGUCAAAUCAUCAUGCCCCUUAUGACCUGGGCUACACACGUACUACAAUGGUCGGUACAACGGGCAGCGAAGGGGCGAUCUGGAGCGAAUCCUUAAAAGCCGAUCUCAGUUCGGAUUGCAGGCUGCAACUCGCCUGCAUGAAGUCGGAAUUGCUAGUAAUCGCGGAUCAGCAUGCCGCGGUGAAUACGUUCCCGGGUCUUGUACACACCG